rnacentral:rRNA from 1 species
UACGGAGGAUGCGGGCGUUAUCCGGAUUUAUUGGGUUUAAAGGGUGCGUAGGCGGUCCGUUAAGUCAGCGGUAAAAUUGCGGGGCUCAACCCCGUCGAGCCGUUGAAACUGGCAGACUUGAGUUGGCGAGAAGUACGCGGAAUGCGCGGUGUAGCGGUGAAAUGCAUAGAUAUCGCGCAGAACUCCGAUUGCGAAGGCAGCGUACCGGCGCCAGACUGACGCUGAGGCACGAAAGCGUGGGGAUCGAACAGG